GACGAACGCUGGCGGCGUGCUUAACACAUGCAAGUCGAACGGAAAGGCCCUGCUUUUGUGGGGUGCUCGAGUGGCGAACGGGUGAGUAACAAGUGAGUAACCUGCCCUUGACUUUGGGAUAACUUCAGGAAACUGGGGCUAAUAACGGAUAGGAGCUCCUGCUGCAUGGUGGGGGUUGGAAAGUUUCGGCGGUUGGGGCUGGACUCGCGGCUUAUCAGCUUGUUGGUGGGGUAGUGGCUUACCAAGGCUUUGACGGGUAGCCGGCCUGAGAGGGUGACCGGCCACAUUGGGACUGAGAUACGGCCCAGACUCCUACGGGAGGCAGCAGUGGGGAAUAGUGCACAAUGGGCGGAAGCCUGAUGCAGCAACGCCGCGUGCGGGAUGACGGCCUUCGGGUUGUAAACCGCUUUCGCCUGUGACGAAGCGUGAGUGACGGUAAUGGGUAAAGAAGCACCGGCUAACUACGUG
rnacentral:rRNA from 1 species